AAGCAUAUCAGAAGGACACCUUCUGAUAAACUUCUUGUAUCUUUCCCAAGCAUCGUAAAGGGAUUCACCUUCCUUCUGUUUGAAGGUUUAAACUUCCACUCUAAGCUU